AUACGGAGGGAGCUAGCGUUGUUCGGAAUUACUGGGCGUAAAGCGCACGUAGGCGGCUUUUCAAGUCAGGGGUGAAAUCCCGGGGCUCAACCCCGGAGCUGCCCUUGAAACUGGAUGGCUAGAAUACUGGAGAGGUGAGUGGAAUUCCGAGUGUAGAGGUGAAAUUCGUAGAUAUUCGGAAGAACACCAGUGGCGAAGGCGACUCACUGGACAGUUAUUGACGCUGAGGUGCGAAAGCGUGGGGAGCAAACAGGAUUAGAUACCCUAGUAGUCC
rnacentral:rRNA from 1 species